rnacentral:lncRNA from 1 species
UUUUUUUUUUUUUUUUUUGUAGCUUUACAUUUUUUUAAUGAAGUGUCAAAUGAUAAAUUUCAUUAAAUUUAGUAAUAAUUAUAUGUAUCCUUAAGGACUAGUUUGGUUUUCAGUAAAGGAUUAUGUAGGAUAAUUUGUAACCAGGAUAUUUAGCGUGGAUAAUGACAAAUUAUUAAUACUGAAUUGGUGUUUGCUAUCAUGACUAAAUACUGAAUAUCCUGGUUUAAGUUAAUCAUAUGGGGGAUGUGGUAUUACUAAUCCUAAGAAAUUUGGAUUAAUAAUACUGGGUCGUGGGAUUAAAUCGGGUCAUCCGCAUUAUUACUAAAUAAUACUACCAAACACUAGAUUGAUAUGUACUAAAUUAGCUAAUACAGUGUAUUAGCCAAUAUCAAACACGCCCUAAUUGUACAUGUUAAGCAUAUAGGUUUCUCAUGGGCAAGCUGGUGCCUCAGCACAAUACUCCUGGGAAAUACCUCUAAAACUGUCUCUCUCUCUCUCAUGUAUAUAAUUAGGUGUCAAUGAUUCAUAAAUUAUGUGUGGUUAUAGUUAGUUAUAAAUUGGGUAUAACUAUUUGUAAUUUAUUUGAAUAUAUCCAAAUGCUAUGCGGGUGCUGUGUGAUCAUAAUGUUUUGGAUUAGAUAAAGUUGUUUAGUGAUUGAUAACAAUAAUAAUAAUAAUAAUAAUAGUAAUCAACGACAUUUUCUGUCCUAGUUGAAGGAAAAGGUGUGUUAUUGAAAAUGAUAUAAGAAUUUAUGGAUAACGAGACAUACAUAGUAAAAAGUGAUAACAAAAUUAUGCCUAAAAAAUGAUUUAAAACUAGUCACCUCAUUAUAUCUGCCCCUAAAUCUUUCUUAUUUCACUCAAUGUCUGUAUUUGUAGACAAAUUUAGAGCACGCAACGCACUCCUCGAGUGGCUACUCGAGGAGGGCGUUGCGGUCGAGUAGGUGCGUUGCGGGGGGGAGCUUCUCGAGGAAUGCUUGAGUGCUCGGGUAGCACUCGAGCGGCGCGUGCAGAGCACGCGCCCGAAAUAAAAAUAUAUAUAUAUAUAUAUUUUUCAACGGCUUUUUCGACCGUUUUUCGAUUUUUUUCCCCCAACGGCUCUUUCGUCCGUUUGAGCCCAUUUUCCUUUUUUUUUAUCUUCUUUUCUCUCUAUAAAUAAUACUUCUCCCUCAUUCAUUCAUCACAACUCACUUUCAUUCAUCACAACUCACUCCUUCUUCCUCCUACAAUUUUUCUUGCAAAAUAUCAUAUUCGUUCUUCCAAAAAUGUCGUCACCUGAACAUGAUUCUUCGCCCGAUUCCGACGAAGUCGCUGAAAAGUUCAUGGAGUUGGUUGAGUUGCAGAAACAACUGCUUCAAUCAUACUGCCCCCACCCGGCGCCAGAGCCGGCGCGUGCCAAACGUCCCCGAUCAUACGUCCACCGUGAUCGUGAAGAGGCCCAUGUACGUCUUAUGCAAGACUACUUCGUCGACAAUCCAACGUACGGCCCUACUUUUUUCCGGCGUCGAUUUCGCAUGCAGAAGGAGCUGUUCUUGCGCAUCGUCGAGGCUGUUCAAGGUGAAGAUAUUUUCUUCCAUAUGAGCACUGAUGCACUCGGUCGAGAUUCUCUUUCUCCUUUGCAGAAAUGCACGUCGGCUAUCCGCCAAUUAGCCACCGGGGUUAGUGCGGAUGUGUUCGAUGAGUAUCUCAAAGUGGCGGACUCAACCGGUCGUGUAUGCCUAAAGAAGUUCUGCAAGGCGGUCAUACGGGCUUUUGGAGCCCAUUACUUGCGCCGUCCAACGGCAACUGACGUGCAACGCCUUCUUCAUAUGCACGAGGCGAGACAUGGUUUUCCCGGGAUGCUCGGGAGCUUAGACUGCAUGCAUUGGGCGUGGAAGAACUGCCCAAAGGCGUGGCACGGCGCAUACACACGCGAGGAUCAGGAAGAGCCCACCUUGAUAUUGGAGGUCGUUGCCUCUUUCGAUUUGUGGAUUUGGCACGCCUUCUUCGGCGUCGCUGGUUCGAACAACGACAUCAAUGUGUUGAAUCAGUCUCCUCUCUUCUCCGACGUGUUAGGAGGAACUGCGGCGCCGGUGGUCUUUCAUGCCAACCAGCGCGAAUACCGGAUGGGCUACUAUUUGUGUGACGGCAUAUAUCCGGAGUGGCGUUGCUUCGUGAAGAGUCCAUCAAUGGCAACCAAUCCGAAGGAGGCAAGGUUCAAGAAGAUGCAAGAAUCGGCACGGAAAGAUGUGGAACGCGCCUUUGGAGUCCUCCAAGCUCGGUGGGGAAUCAUUCGAAGUCCGGCGCGCAAUUGGUACGUAGAGCACCUGAAGGACAUCAUGUUGUGUUGCAUCAUUCUCCACAACAUGAUUGUGGAGCACGAAGGUGAAGCGGCUGCCAGCUGGAGAGAUGAUGAUGGGGCGUCUAGUAGUGGUUCGACGGAGAGUGCUGGACAAACACCGGUGUCCUUCGAGGAAUAUGUGCGAAGGGAUAGCCUUCUCCGAGAUAGACAACUACAUGCUCAGCUCCGAUAUGAUUUGAUGGAGCACCUUUGGGCACGUUUUGGACCUCUAGGGACAGAGUAGUUAAUUUUUAGGAAUUGUUUUUAUUUUAUUUAAGUUUUAUGUAAUAUUUAGGAUUUUAUAAUAAUUGCAAUUUAAAUUUGAAAUAAAUUGUGUUUUUAAAUUUGCGCAAUUAAAUUUAAAUGAAAAACAUAAAAAUCAAAACUAAUGUUAUCAAGUAGGCUAUCAAGGAACCCCAAUGCAGCACUACCUACUCAAUAACACAACCACUAUCAAGUAGGCUAUCAAGGAACCCCAUUGUGGAUGCUCUUAGUUAUAUUUGUUGGAGUGGCCUUUAGAAACACCAAAAGAUAUAGACAUGUAUACUUUAAUACUUAUAUAUGGUGGUUGUCACGAUCAGUCUUCUUUAUUGAAUUACGAUUUUCAUCAAUAAAUAUGUGUUAGGUGGGGCUGAGAUUUCUUCGGUAAAACUCUUUAAUGAUCAUUUAAUUUUUUUUUGGCUCUUAUCUUUAAUCUUCACUAUUUUAGUUUUAUAGUAAUAAAUAAAUUAUAAAACGUUUUAUUUUCAAUUGGGUCCAUAGCUCAGUGGUAGAGCAAUUGACUGCAGAUCAAUAGGUCACCGGUUCGAACCCGGUUGGGCCCUUGUAGUUAUGUUAAAUUUUAUUCCUUUUUUUCUAAUUAAAUCAUUUAUUUUAGUUCACUUUUUUUUUCUUUUUCUUUUUCUUUUUAUAAAAUCAUCAAUCCUUUUAUAUUACUAUUCUCCAAAAAAAAAAAAAAACUUCAAACCCCUUUUUUAUAAUAUUACUAUACUCCAAUAAAAAAAUUCACUGUUGGUCUUUUUUUUCUUUUUCAUAAAUUCUUCAAGCGUGUUAUUGUUCUCCAAUAAAAAAAAUUCACAUUUAUUUUUAUAAAAUCUUCAAUCUUUUUAUGUUACUAUUCCUCCAACAAAAAUUCACAUUUAAGUGGUUGAAUAAAUAAAUAAAUAAAUAAAUUACGUUCUUUUUUAAUGAAUUUUGAGGGAGAUUAAGAUCAAUAGAAAGAACAACAACAUAAAAAGUUAAGUAGUAAAAACAGCGCCAACGUUUAUAGCAAUAAAUAAAUAGAUUUCUAACGUGAUAUUUAUGCAACUUAAUGCUUAAUAUUCAUGAAUAGGGAGCAAAUAAUUUUCCGUUAAACAGACGAACUUAUUUAUUUCAAUUUGUGAAUAUUAAAAAUCAAGUUGCAUAAACUAUAAUGUUUAAAAAUUAUUAUUUAUUUUUUGCUGUAAACAUUAGAAUUGUUGUUGCUGGGUCGCCCUAAAAAGAUUUAAAUAUAUUUGUGAAAUGAUAUACACAAAUACUAUAUUGUUUUACUAUUCUAUGUAGGCCUAAUUUACCCACCACUGGAUAUGUGGGCACAUGGUGACGUGGAAUUUAAGGGCCACCAUUCGUCAAAUAAUUCAUAUUCAUAUUGAAUUUAAUCCAACAACAUGAUAUUCUAUUGGCUGUUUGCAGCCAAGUGGAUCGCCACUUUUGGAAAUUUUUAUUGCCAAGUGUCAUUUUGUAAGCCAACUAGGCAUAUGUCACUUCAAAGUCUAAUUUAUAGAUGAACGCUUAAAUUGAACUAAUAAUUUUUUUUUUUGAGAAUUUGAAGUGAUAUUAAUAAAAAGGCACGAAAUUUUAUUUUUGGGACGUCUCGCACGAUUUUUUUAAUUUUGCAUAAUAAUUUAUUAUUCGUAAACAUUUUCUUAAUAUUCUCAAGAUAACAAAAUUCAGCUAAAUUAUAUGACAAUCACUUAUGAUUGGACCUUCAUUUCUUCAGCAAAAAGUAAUCUAAUAAACUCUAAUCUAUUAAUUGAUGGUUGAAGAUUCUUUUUGGCUGAUAUUUGAAAUCUCGGAAUUAAUGGUUGAAGAUUCUUUUUGGCUGAUAUUUGUAAUCUUGGAGAGUAUUGAAAAAGAAGAAAUUUGAUUGGAUUUUAUCACUGCGAGGACAUUAAAAAGAAAUUUACAAGUGGUGAAUUACCAUGCAAAAUUAAAAAGUCGUGGAAAACAUUCGAAACAAAAUGAAACUUCAUGAAUUUACAAACAAUUAACCCUAAUAAAAAUAAUAAAUUAUACUCCUUUCGUCCAUAAUAUCGUUGUCCACGGGAAGCAUCGGAAUGGCGGAGCACAGACAAUCACGCCCUCUUCUCCCCUCUAAAAUUCUCGUGUAUAAAUAAAAUGGUAGCUCUCACAAAAUUGAUCAUUCCCUUCCCUUCACCUUUCUCUUUCUACAGCCCUUCUCUCUCACCGGAAAAUGGGAGCCAACGCCUCUUCUCUCCUGCUACAGCGGACCGAGCUCGACGACAUACCGGAAUCCUGCAUUGCUCUUGUUCUCUCCUACUUGGACCCGCCGGAGAUCGCCAAGCUCGCCGGAGUCAACCGCGCUUUCCGCGCAGCAUCGUCGGCCGACUUCAUCUGGAUUCCUAAAUUGCCCUCCACUUCACCCUAUCUCAUCUCCAAAUUCUGCGAUCGAGCCAUUGGGGGAAAUUUCAGCCGCAGGAAAGACAUUUACGCCUCGCUGUGCCGCCACACCACGUUUGAUGGCGGGACUAAGGUUCGUAUAUGGAUUGAUUAUAUUUUGACCUAAUUUUCUUCAACUUCUCGGUUUAAUUUGAUCGCGAGAAGCUUCUUAUUUUGUGGAAUUAGGAAGUUUGGAUUGAUAAGAGAACCGGAGGGGUUUGCUUGGCUAUUUCUUCCAAGGCGAUGGCGAUUACUGGAAUCGAUGAUCGGAGGUAUUGGAAUCACAUUCCAACUGAUGAAUCUAGGUAAGUUUUUGCAGUGCUGUGAUGAUAGAUGCUCAUUUUUAUGCAUAAAAUUGAAGCUCAGAUAUAAUCAAGAUAUCUAAUCAGCUCCAAAUCCCCUAUCUGCAUGAAAUUUUCACAUUCAUAACCUAAAUCCUUUCUCUUUUAGGCAAAAAAAAUGUCUUAAUGUUUUCUUUUUGAAUGUUAUUCUUUGAUUGAUGAUGUAGAUUUGAGACAGUUGCAUGCCUUGAGCAAAUCUGGUGGCUUGAAGUGGACGGAGAAGUCGAGUUCCGAUAUCCGCGGGGAACUUACAGUCUCUUCUUCAGGCUGAAGCUGGGAAGAGUUGGUAAGCAGAGGCUAAGCCGCGUGCACGGAUGGGAUACGAAACCUGCGCAGUUUCAGUUGAAGACGCACGACGGCCAGCACGCAGCCUCCCGCUGCACGCUGGGGAGCUUGGGAAACUGGGUGCACUACCACGUCGGAGAUUUCGUCGUUGAGGAUCCUAAUGCGUUCACGACGAUCAACUUCUCCUUGACGCAGAUCGACUGCACACACACCAAAGGUGGUCUGUGUGUGGAUUCUGUGUUGAUAUGCCCAACUAGUGUAGGAAAAGAGUUGCUGUAUAGAGGAUGAAGCUUCUAAGUUAGCAAUCAUAACAAGAAGCAGAGUCUUGCUUGUAAACGCACCUCUGUGUAUAAUUUUGAGGUAUCAGUUUCUUGCUAUCAUUCUGUAUUGGUUGAUCUAAACAUCUGAGAUGACCUCUAUGACAUGAUCAUUUGAAGAGCUAAUUUCUACCUCUGCCGUCGCCGGAGGAGAAGAGGGGCGGUCGGGUUUGAAACAGCGGCGGAUUGUUGAGCAGGCAUUGGCUUUGAAGUCUGCAACCCUUUGAUGAAGAGAUCUUUUGUUGUGCAGAUGAAGGGCCUGCGAAACAAGAAAGCAUGUCACUGUUACAAAACCCGUGAUGGCGAAGAGGACGGAGAAGCUUUGCAACGACACUCGGGCAAGGGAGCUGCUUCCGUCGGGACCCACACACUCCGGCUCGGGCAAGUGCCGUUUCUCGAUCUCGCGAAUCGUGCCGUUUUCCGUCAGUUGAACUAUGGCUUUAGAGAUAUCAGCCACCGCAGGGAAAGCUUUGGGGAAAGCCUGCCAUUCACAAACAAUGAUGCUACGGCGGUGCAUACAGAUAAAAGUGACUAUUCUCAUGAAGAAAAGUGACACUUUUUUUUGCACCCUCUUAACUAAAAGGUGACAUUAUCCUAAAGAAAAAUGGUGCUAUAGAUAAAAGUGACAAUUAUCAUGAAGAAAAAUGAUAUUUUUUUGUACCCUCUAACUAAAAAGUGACGAUUAUCCUAAAGAAGAACGGUGAAUACAGAUAAAAGUGGACAAUUAUCAUGAAGAAAAAUGACAUUUUUUUUUGUACCCUCCAACUAAAAAGUGACGAUUAUCCUAAAGAAAAACGACAACUAUAGUAUAGUAGUAUAUGAGUUGAAAAGAAAUGCACUUACAAAGGCGAAUCCGUCUGUGCGAUAGACAGGGUUGAUCAUCUUGUACUUGCCACACGCUUGAGAUAGUAUGGCCUUGAUGUGGGGCACGACGUCGCAAUAGGCCGAUGUACCAUUGUUUUUGUUUCCCAGGGAUAGAGCUUGUUCACAAUCAUCCGUAGAUGUAUGGCUUUUGAGUUUUGCUGGAUCAAACCCCAACUGAAUCAAGUAAGCUUCAAGAAAUGAACCAUCUUGGUAACCGACAUAGUCUCCUUUGGCGAUAAGUUGCUCCACAUUCGCUACACUUCCUCGAAGAUUGGCUACUGUGAGUCUGGAAGAUAAAUUGGCAGUGUAGGUUGAGUUAAGCAGAUUUGCCACAAGGGCCCAUGUCACGAGAAUCAGACAAAUCAAGAUGACUUCAAUCCGUUCUCCUGCAAGGAAACGAAUACGGAUGAUAAACGAGGACUAAUCAGAUCAAACAAAGUAAGAAGCGUAGAGGAUGUAUCGCCACUCACCGGGAAAGAAUGGCAAGAGGUAACUCAUGCCAACUUGUUGGCUGAGCGAAUCCCUGGAACUUUGUACGACCCUCUUCGCGAGGAACCAAGUUGCCAUCGCAGUUGAGAUGUAAAGGAUAGCAGUGGUUAGCCACAGUUUUAUAGUAAGGGGCUGUAAAAAUGUUAACACAUCAUUCACAUCCUCAUACUUGACGGGAACUAUACAGGCAAUGCCUCCUUCUGCAAAUGGCAUAGUGAAAUCGGCAUAAUCAGAUCUGUUAGCAGUAAUGGUGAUAUCUCCAAGAGCACCAUCGUAAUCUUUCUGUCAUCACCAAGAAGGUCAAAUAAACAAACAAAACCGUGGCCAAAAAUAUGAUAAGAAGGUAACUGACACAUAUUCACUAGAGAACUCACCUGCAAAGAAACUUGAAACACGAGAUCAUUGUAGUUCCCAGAUCUUGAACCAUCGGGCUUGAUAAAUGGAUAGGGGACAAAUUCGUAUGGUAGAGCAUAGGGUAAAGCGUGUAUGACAGCAUCAAACACCUCUUUGUAGUAUCCACUAACUUUUGUUUCAUUCGUUUGAAGAUCUGUUUGCACUUUCAAAAACUCGUUGAAACCAGGUUUCUUUGGCACUGCGAUUCUUAGGUUUUCACCUUUUAUAGGAUAUUCCCAACCUCUCGGUUUUUCUGUUGAGUCUCCAGGCCAAAUGAUACUCCUAAAUUUUGCCUUUGAGGUAGAGAAUGGGGUCCAGGUUCCUACAGGCCUCUCUAUGCUUUCGACAACAUUAACUAUCUCAUAUGAUGUCUGCUUCAACUGUCCCUUAACUAGGUUAAAUUCUCCGGCAAGUCCUCUGAACCUCGUAUCCAACAAUGCUUCAAGAAGCUCGGGACCAGUUUCUGAAACUUUGAAAGUGAAAGGGCUAGUGAAGUUGACACUUGUUUCAUUCUCAGUUGCACUUGACCUACUAAUCCCAACUCUUUCAGCUGCCAUACCAAGAGCCCACAAAGUAUCGUAUGCCCAUAGACCAAAUAUACUUGUUUCAUCCUGAUUCAUAUCGCGAUUAUCUUGCCUCAAUCUAGAAGCGAAGGAAUGAAGUUCAUCAGAUUUGGGGAUUAGAGGUCUUACACCAAGAACCCCUUGCAUGGCCUCAGCAACAUCCGAACUGAUUGAGCUGAAUAGAUCCGUCAUCCCACUGGUAACGAUCCAUACAUAUCCUUCGGUCAUCAUCCCUAAUUCUCUUGCUUUUAGAAAGAGCUUAGUUCCAAGAAACUGAGACAUAUGCACCACAAAAACUCGAGUCUGCAUGGUCAUCAUUUUGUACAGUUCAUUGCUGAUAAGUUCGUCGGUGGCUGAUCUGGGAAGCACGCUUCUAUAUGGAACACGAGCAUUGACAUCUUGGAGCGUAUUAGACAGAUAAGGCAUAAUGCCAUUGCCAAACUCUGUGUCCUCGUAUAUGACCACGACCUGUGUCCACAGGAACGCUUUAACAAUGGAAGCAAUAGCCUGAACUUGAUUGGCAUCAUUCUGAGCUGUCUGAACAAAAUAAGGAGUUUGAUGAACGAGGGAGGGGCUCGUUGCAGAGAAAGAUAUAAUCGGCACAUGAGCCUUAUCUCCCAAAUCCAUCACAAAGUUAACCUGUGCAGACGUUUGAGGACCAAUGAUGGCAUCCACUUUGACAUCUCGCAGUAAAUGAAGAGCUGCAAUGCACAACUAAGAAUACAUCAAAUUACAACGACAAAAUGAGAGUAUUAUGGUGAGUGAAAAGUUGUCUCAUACCAGCAGCAGCAGCAUCAACGACGCUUCCGUUUGAAUCCAUUGGAUGGAGAACCAGUCUCGUUUUAUAGUCUCCGUGAAACGAAUAAAAAUCAGCCAGCGCCAUCGAUAAGCAUCUCAUUCCUAUACGCCCCACAGGUGAAGCAAUUGAGUUCAAAUUAAGAAUCACGCCAACAUGAAAAUCAAUAGCUGAAGAUUGUGUACUAAAAAGGGGAAGCAAGAGAAAUGCCCCAAACAAGUAAAAGGAACACAUUGCUUUGAAAGACUUGACAAUGAUACUUGAAUAACAUCUACAUAUAUAGCACCUACAAUACAAUAUUCAGAAAAUCGAAUGGCGUAGAAAUUAAAUAAUUAGUACCUGUCAGUUGUUAUCUUUACAAAACUUACCAUGAAUUUUCUCCUUAUUUAAUAUAUAUGCAUGACAGCAUGAAGAACAACUGUUCCUUCAUGGGACCAUUUUCAUCUACAAAUUCUAAAAGUCUGAACAUUUCCAUAUGGUCCUGCAAUUAAUCUACUACAUCAUUUUCCAAGAACCAAGGCUUACAUUUUACAUGACAAAAUCUUGAAGGCAUAUUACUAUAUAGGCACAAUCAAGAGUUGACAUCAUGAACUAAGACUUAGCAAUUUUUUUUAACUGUUACAUUUUCUUACCUCAAGAAUGAGAAAUUUGUAGUAUGCAACCUAGGACUUUCCCUAUCCUCAAUGUUUAAGGUUCCCACCAUCGCCAAAAGUUCCUAAGUUUCCAUCUGCAAAUUUCGAAAUGUCAAUAUAAAUAAUAAACAGACAAAAAUUUAAGCUUGGUGAAAAUGCAUGGUAGCAAACACUACACGAGAGCUUGAUCCAAAUAUCAUGGACUAGAAGCCCACCUCUCAAUAUCAUGCCGUCCAUUUCCAGUCACAAUUGAAUAAUAGUCUCCCAUGUUAUCUACUCAUUCAAAGAAAUAAUCAACUCAUCAAGUAUACUUAGAAUAUACACCAAUUUUUUCGAAAAAAUUAAAAAUAAGAAUAGACCAAGACUUCCUUCUAUCAGUAAUAAAUUCAAACAGCUGAUCUGCAUCUUUGAACAAGUCAAUUUGGAAGCGGAAUUUAAUUUCAAUUUAAACCCGCGAGCCUUCCAUAAUAAUAACUGCAGAUUGCAAUUCAACCCUAAAUUCAACAUAAAUUUCAUAAUUCAAAUGGAAACUUGAAAACUUCCUACGCGUGGAAACAUGUAGAUCUGCGAUAUACCUCAUUUUAUCAGAUAGCUCUCCUCCUUGGAAUAAUUCAUCGUGUGAUAUUUACGAAACCCAGUUUUCUUUCAAACAACUGCAUGUUAACAAUAUAUACAUAGUUUGUGCGGAUUUUUUCCGAUUUCGUCACCAAGCUCGUAAUAUAGCUUUACAUUCGAAAUCAACACUUUACUACUUGCUAUCAUAUAUCUAAGCAUAAAUCUUUCUGCUUCAUUUCCUCUAGAAGCAGCUUUUAGUUUGAGAAUGAGAAACAAAAAAUGAAAUGAAAUGAAAAAAAUAAAAAAAUAAAACGGAAGCUUCCACAUCAGCAUCGGUCCAAAAUAUGCCUUUUGGUGAAAAUGUUUUUUCGUUAAUGUUAAUUUCUUUUUUGAAAAAAAAAAUACCAACUCACUUUAUGCAACUAAAUCAUAGUGUAAAUUAAAUAUCUUAAUGUAAUUACGAUGAAGUUCUUUUAGAUCAUAACGUUUCACAAUUUAUAGCAAAACUAGCAAUCGAUUAGUGACAUAAUUUGCUGAGGAAUUUGAAGUUUGAAGACAAAGUGCUGCUUAGCAUAAUAACAAUCAUUGCACCCUUCAUCAUUAGCAAUGUUUAUACUUUCUUUUUUUGAAGUAAUAUUUUUCAUUUAUAUGAAUUUGUGAUAUAAAAUAUUUCAUUCAUGGUAGAAUGACUUAUCGGUUGAAGUACACACUAUGCAGUAAUUUAUAUUUUAAUACUAGUUUGUAUUUAUAACUAUUACAUAUUUUCUCUGUCCACAAAAAAUAGUCUUGGAAGGAAACGAUAUAAAUUUUAAUAAAAAUAAUUGAGUGAUUUGUGAACGAAGAAAUAAUCUCACUUGAAAAAUAGUGUUAAUAAUUAUAAUUAAUUAUAUUGUGAGUAGAGAAAUUUGCUCACCAUAUGGUGUGUAUUAUUCAAAAAAUAGAAAGAGACUAAUUUUUGUGACGUCUCAAAAUAACAAAAAUAUACAUUUUUUGUGAACGUAAGAAGUAUAUAUAGGAGGAAACUCUGACGAGAAUGAAAACGAAGAACAUUCUCAGUCCUUUGAUCCACACCUAGAUUCAAAUUAUAUGACGGCAUUGUUGAGCGAUUAAAAAAAAUACAUUGAAUUUAAUAAUGAAUGCAUAAAUUUUAUAAGAAAGUGCAUUGUUCUCACGUUUUCACAAUAUAAAUAUCCUUUAAUUAUAUUGUAUGGCAAUAUUUCAUAUUUCAGCAAUCAGUGUCAACUUGUUAUCAACUAUAGUAUCUUCUUGAAAUAUCUUGCAUAUCAAAUUAUCAGUUGUUAUCAACUAUAGUAUCUUCUUGAAAUAUCUUGCAUAUCAAAUUAUCAAUCACAGAGAGUAGAGUAAUUAUAAAUCAAUCUUAGAUAAAAGUAUAAGAUAUUGCUAUUUGAUUGUAGCUUAAAAAAUUGAUUUAUUGAGUAUUAUUGUAGUAAAUUCAAACAUUUGAUUUCCACGAGUGGUGACUACAACAAGGAAAAUGCCGAGCAAUUGCCAGUUUGGGUCAAAAACGAAACGUGUCUUAAAAAAUAAAACUCCAAUUAAUUAUACUAAUUAGGAAAUUGAGUCUUACUUGCACCACCAAAAAUUCUUAUUGACGAAUGACGAUAUUAGGCUAUCAUGUUUAAUGCGGUUUUUCAAUUAAAUGAAUUUGGCUUUGUUCUAUUUACUUUUAAAAUUCUAUUUUCUUUUUCUCCUUCCUUACAUAUGAUGUAUGUCUAGGUGUCACGCCUGAUCUUUUCAUGCGUGGCAAUUUACUUAAUAUGUAUCUGCUUCGGUUUUCAGUUGCCCAUGUUAUAUAAAAAAUGUAUGUCUUUUCUUUAUCUUCGUGCCUUUUUUUUUGGGGGGGGGGGGGGAGGGGGGGUGGUGUUAUGAUGAUGGAGCAUUAUAAUGUUGUUCUAUCUAAUAGCUGAAGAAUAUAUCCCAUGCUUGCUUCUGAAGUUCUCUUAUAAUACAAGCUAAAACUAAAAGAGGAAGCAAGCUAUAUAUAAUAUAGUCCAUAACUACUAGUAUCAUCUUUAUUUGUGGCUAUUUCUUUCACAAGUUAUUUUUUUUUUGUCUCCAUUCCUAUCCUUAUGAGAACUAUAACCCAACAUUGCAUGAAAUUGACAAGUUCAUACUUAUGAAGAAAGCAGAUGAAGGAAAAGAAGAACUGAUAAUACAAAAAAAAAUUAGAUGUAAUAUUUGUUUUGAUUGUCGAUUCAGCUUUCCAUAAGAUAUGUCACUUUCAAUUUGACAGAAUUUUAACUCUAGUUACAAAUUGAAUAACAGAGGUAAGUUCAAACUGUUGCAAUUGAUAGUUUGAAAUCGCAUUUCUACUUAAAGCAAUAGGCGUGUAUUACGCGAAGGGAUCAAAUUGCAAAUUGAAAGACACGGGAAGUGUUAGUUGCAAACUGAUUCUUACUGGAUGUUUUAAUCUUGGCCGUUGAUUUAUCUAAAGGCCGAAAUCGAAGCUCAGCUGGAAUUAGUUAUAACGACCUUCAUCUUCCUCAAGCAAUCUAAUCCAGUUUCAUUUUGCAGAGAGAACAAUUGAGAGAAAAGAUUUGUGAGAGUUUUUCCUUUCUGAGUUUUGAUUGAGGAUUGAGUGCGCAAUUUUUCUCUGGUUUUUCCGUUUUUAGUAUAUAACAUCAUAUAUAUCUUCCACGUUAGUAAAAUUCAGCGUCACACCAGAUUCAAUUUUGUCUGAAUUGACAUUUAUGGGAAAUUCCAAAAAUUAUGAAAGUUCAGUAUUUAGAACAAACUGUUACUCCCUCCGUCCCAAUAAAAGUGGCCACAUUUCCUUUUUUGGUGUCCCAUUAAAAGUGGCUACUUUCUAAAAAUGGCAAAAGUUUACUUUAAUUAAGUCAACAAUUACUCACUAAUUUGGUCAACAAUUGUAGGCCACUUUCUAAAAAUGUCAAAAUUACUCACUAAUUUGGUCAACAAUUGUAGGCCACUUUCUAAAAAUUACUCACUAAUUUUGGUGGGUCACACUCAAUUAAAACAUAACAAUCCCCUUCUUAAUCUCCGUGACCAAAAAAAAAUGACCACUUUUAUUGGGACGGAGAGAGUAUUUAUUUUGGGAAAAACCAAAAACUGUGUAAAGUUGUAUUUAAAACAAAUUAACCCAUAUUUUAAUCACAUGUUUUUUCUGUUUCACAAAGACACUUCAAAAAUGUAAUGAAACAAAUUUCAUGUUUCAAUGAGAUGAUAUGACAAAACUAGAUGCAAAAUGCUUCACUCAGCCAAAGGAGAAACCAAGGUUAAUUCGCUCAUGAUCUACAAAAGGAAUUUUCUAGACUAAAAUCUGAGUUUUGUGAUUUUUCAUUAUGCUAUUUCCUCGUGUGCUAGUUCAACCUUUGUUACAUGUAAGUGAAGGGCUGUGAGAAUUCACAAAAACAAGAUUACAGACAUUUUCAUCAUUGGAGCAAUCACGACUUAACAAGGUUUACUCUCAUACGCAGCAGCUCAUUUACUAUUGGUUUUUAGUCCGUCUUCUUAUCGGGUUCAUCGAUAGCAGCUAAUCUUUCGACCAAGGGUGGAUGCGAAUAGUGGUAAGCAGAAUACCAAGGGUCAGUGUUCAUGGAUGAUAGAUUCUCCUCCUGUCAAACAUCAACAAAUUGUAAGCUUCAUUAGUCUCUAUUGUCGAGCCACGCAAAAGAUUAACAAAGGCAGAUAAAUGAGACUACUACGCAUACUACUUCUAAACAAGCAAGGAGAAUGGUAGUACCAUCAUUAAUACUUUAGAUGAAACAGUAUACAGACCUCUCCAGAAAAAAUUUCGUGAAAACCAUAGAUGGGCAGGACUCACUNUGCAAUUAAUCUACUACAUCAUUUUCCAAGAACCAAGGCUUACAUUUUACAUGACAAAAUCUUGAAGGCAUAUUACUAUAUAGGACACAAUCAAGAGUUGACAUCAUAGAACUAAGACUUAGACUAAUUUUUUUUAACUGUUACAUUUUCUUACCUCAAGAAUGAGAAAUUUGUAGUAUGCAACCUAGGACUUUCCCUAUCCUCAAUGUUUAAGGUUCCCACCAUCGCCAAAAGUUCCUAAGUUUCCAUCUGCAAGUUUCGAAAUGUCAAUAUAAAUAAUAAACAGACAAAAAUUUAAGCUUGGUGAAAAUGCAAGGUAGCAAACACUACACGAGAGCUUGAUCCAAAUAUCAUGGACUAGAAGCCCACCUCUCAAUAUCAUGCCGUCCAUUUCCAGUCACAAUUGAAUAAUAGUCUCCCAUAUUAUCUACUCAUUCAAAGAAAUAAUCAACUCAUCAAGUAUAAUUAGAAUAUACACCAAUUUUUUCGAAAAAAUAAAAAUAAGAAUAGACCAAGACUUCCUUCUAUCAGUAAUAAAUUCAAACAGCUGAUCUACAUCUUUGAACAAGUCAAUUUGGAAGCGGAAUUUAAUUUCAAUUUUAAACCCGCGAGCCUUGCCAUAAUAAUAACUGCAGAUUGCAAUUCAACCCUAAAUUGAACAUAAAUUUCAUAAUUCAAAUGGAAACUUGAAAACUUCCUACGCGUGGAAACAUGUAGAUCUGCGAUAUACCUCAUUUUAUCAGAUAGCUCUCCUCCUUGGAAUAAUUCAUCGUGUAAAAUAUUUACGAAACCCAGUUUCCUUUCAAACAACUGCAUGUUAACAAUAUAUACAUAGUUUGUGCGGAUUUUUUCCGAUUUCGUCACCAAGCUCGCAAUUUAUAGCUUUACAUUCGAAAUCAACACUUUACCACUCGCUAGUAUCAUAUAUCUAAGCAUAAAUCUUUCUGCUUCAUUUCCUCUAGAAGCAGCUUUAGUUUGAGAGUAGAGAAAAAAAAAAAUAGAAAUAGAAAUGAAAUUAAAAAAAUAAAAAAUACGGGAAGCUUCCACAUCAGCAUCGAUCCAAAAUAUGCCUUUUGGUGAAAAUGUUUUUUCGUUAAUGUUAAUUUCUUUUUUGAAAAANAAAAUACCAACUCACUUUAUGCAACUAAAUCAUAGUGUAAAAUAUCUUAAUGUAAUUACGAUGAAGUCCUUUUAGAUCAUAACGUUUCACAAUUUAUAGCAAAACUAGCAAUCGAUUAGUGACAUAAUUUUGUGAGAAAUUGAAGUUUGAAGACAAAGUGUUGCUUAGCAUAAUAACAAUCAUUGCACCCUUGAUCAUUAGCAAUGUUUAUAUGAUUUUGUGAUAUAAAAUACUUCAUUCAUGGUAGAAUGACUUAUCGGUUGAAGUACACACCAUGCAGUAAUUUAUAUUUUAAUACUAGUUUGUAUUUAUAACUAUUACAUAUUUUCUCUGUCCACAAAAAAUAGUCUUGGAAGGAAACGAUACAAAUUUUAAUAAAAUAAUUGAGUGAUUUGUGAACGAAGAAAGAAUCUCACUUGAAAAAUUGAGAAAUUUGCUCACCAUAUGGUGUGUAUUAUCCAAAAAUAGAAAUAGACUAAUUUUUGUGACGUCCCAAAAUAACAAAAAUAUACUAUUAUUUUUUGUGAACGUAAGGAGUAUAUAUAAGAGGAAACUUUGACGAGAAUGAAAACGAAGAACAUUCUCAGUCCUUUGAUCCAUACCUGGAUUCAAAUUAUAUGAUGACAUUGUUGAGCGAUUUUUUUUAAACAAAAAAAUACAUUGAAUUUAACAAUGAAUGCAUAAAUUUUAUAAGAAAGUGCAUUGUUCUCACGUUUUCACAAUAUAUAUAUCCUCUAAUUAUAUUGCAUGGCAAUAUUUCAUAUUUCAGCAAUCAGUGUCAACUUGUUAUCAACUAUAGUAUCUUCUUGAUAUAUAUCUUGCAUAUCAAAUUAUCAAUCACAGCGAGUAGAGUAAUUAUAAAUCAAUCUUAGAUAAAAGUAUAAGAUAUUGCUAUUUGAUUGUAGCUUAAAAAAUUGAUUUAUUGAGUAUUAUUGACUUAUUGUAGUAAAUUCAAACAUUUGAUUUCCAUACGUCACCAGUAUGAGUGGUGACUACAACAAGGAAAAUGCCGAGCAAUUGCCAGUUUGGGUCAAAAAACGAAACGUGUCUUAAAAAAUAAAACUCUAAUUAAUUAAUACUAAUUAGGAAAUUGAGUCUUACUUGCACCACCAAAAAUUCUUAUUGACGAAUGACGAUAUUAGGCUAUCAUGUUUAAUGCGGUUUUUCAAUUAAAUGAAUUUGGCUUUGUUCUAUUUACUUUUAAAAUUCUAUUUUCUUUUUCUCCUUCCUUACAUUACAUACGAUGUAUGUCUAGGUGUCACGCCUGAUUUUUCAUGCGUGGCAAUCUACUUAGCCCACGUUUGGUUGGGUGUUUUUAGAUGUUGGAAAGGAAAUCAAGUAAUUGAAUCCAUUACUUGUUGUUUGGUUUGGGUAAUGAGAUAAUCAUUACCCUUACUUAAGGGUAACCCAAUCACCCAAUUUGUUACCCCUCAAAAUAGAGGGGAAACAAAAGAAAGGGAUUCCCUUACUAAUGAUUCAUUUUCAUUGUUAAACCAAACACUCAAUAAAAGUAAUGGUUAUUGUUACCAUUCCACUCCUUUAUUUGAUUCCAUUCCCUUUCCAUUCCUCUACCUGAACCAAACGAGCACUUAAUAUGUAUCUGCAUCGGUUUUCAGUUGCCCAUGUUAUAUAAAAAAUGUAUGUCUUUUCUUUAUCUUCGUCCCUUUUUUUUUCCAUGCUUGCUUCUGAAGUUCUCUUAUAAUACAAGCUAAAACUAAAAGAGGAAGCAAGCUAUAUAUAAUAUAGUCCAUAACUACUAGUAUUAUCUUUAUUUGUGGCUAUUUCUUUCACAAGUUAAUUUUUUUUGUUCUCCAUUCCUAUCCUUCUGAGAAAUAUAACCCAACAUUGCAUGAAAUUGACAAGUUCAUACUUAUGAAGAAAGCAGAUGAAGAUAAAGAAGAACAAGGUGAAUAAGAUUCAUGGAGAUAUGACACGAAGAACUGAUAAUACAAAAAAAAAAAUGGAUGUAAUAUUUGUUUUGAUUGUCGAUUCAACUUUCGAUAAGAUAUGUCACUUUCAAUUUGACAGAAUUUUAACUCUAGUUACAAAUUGAAUAACAGAGGUAAGUUCAAACUGUUGCAAUUGAUAGUUUGAAAUCGCAUUUCUACUUAAAGCAAUAGGCGUGUAUUACGCGAAGGGAUCAAAUUGCAAAUUGAAAGACACGGGAAGUGUUAGUUGCAAACUGAUUCUUACUGGAUGUUUUAAUCUUGGCCGUUGAUUUAUCUAAAGGCCGAAAUCGAAGCUCAGCUGGAAUUAGUUAUAACGACCUUCAUCUUCCUCAAGCAAUCUAAUCCAGUUUCAUUUUGCAGAGAGAACAAUUGAAAGAAAAGAUUUGUGAGAGUUUUUCCUUUCUGAGUUUUGAUUGAGGAUUGAGUGCACAAUUUUUCUCUGGUUUUUCGUUGUAUUCAAAGUUUGAUUGUAAUAAAUAAAGAGUGAUCCGAUGUCUUGUCCUGUGAAUGUAGGUUGAAAAACCGAACCACGUUAAAUUUUGUGUCGUUUAUUGUUUUUGUGUUCAAUCGUUGAUUUUCUUAACACAAACUAUUUUUUUUUUAUCAAUUUUAUAAAUUCAAGGUAAAAAGUGAACUUAGGGUCAAGUUUCGGGCUAUUUUAAUAAUAAAUUAAAAUAAAAAGUUCAAGAAAAUACUUAAAGCUAAAAAUCUGAUUUUAGUAUUUUGACAGUUUUAAAGAUUGUUAAAUUCUUAGUCUAAAGGCGGCAAAUGCUGUUUGUGGAUUUACUGCCAAUUAACGUACGAAAAAUAUGCUGCGAGAUACAGAUCUAUAAAAAGUAAUUAAAAGUUCCAAAAAUUCUUUCUAAACUAAUAGAAAAUUUGAAAGAAAAGAUAACUAGAUAUUUUGGUGAAAUUUCUAAAUAGAUAAUAGUGAUUAUUAGAUUAAAAAAGGUUUUAUAAAAAUCUUGAUCAUUCAUUUCAUAGUGCUCCAACUAUAAAAUGAAUUCAUCUUCAUUUUAGAGUCACUACUAUUUUUAUGAGAGAUAUUUUAAGGGUUAAUUUGUUUUAAAUUCACAUACUUUACACAAGUUUUGAUUUUUCCCAAAACAAAUAAAAAUGAGUUCUAAAUACACAAACUUUCAUACAUUUUGGAAUUUCCCACAAAAGUCAAUUCAGAUAAAAUUAAAUCUGUCUUAGAGUCGGAUUUUGUUGUCUUGUAAUAUUUAAAGGUUUAAUUAGGUACAAUUUAUUUCACAAUAAUUAAAAUAUCCAAAUUUUAUACUCCCUCCUUGCCAUCAUUGUGACACGCAUUCCAUUUGGGGUUGUCCCAAUCUAAAUGACACGUUUCUAUUUUGAGAAAUAAUAAGGGGUGAAUUAAGCUUAAUUAAUGCACUAAUUAUCUCCUAAUAUUAACUAAACACUUAAAAAAACCAAUGCCACCCAAGCCCUUUUUGCGCCGCCUUCGCCACUGCGCAUCACCACUCCUGCUCCUUCCACACCGCCGCCUCCUCCUGUCUAACCCUGGUUUCGCGCUGCCUUCGCCGCUGCGCCCCACCACCCCUGCUCCAUCCGCGCCGCUUCAUUCUCUUGUCUAACCCUUGCACUCGCCACGCCCCUUUCUGAAAUUCGGCCAAUAGCAGAUCCCCUGUAUAGGAGUCGAGCCCCAGAUCCCGAUCUCUCACCACCCUGCUUGGUAGUUGAGGAAAUAGAAGAAACACAUAAUUUGAUUUUGGGAUGUUGUUGCUUGGUAAUUGAUUCUGUUUUUUCAAUUUCAUUAAUUUGAUUUUGAAAUCUUGUUGUUUGAUAAUUGAGGAUAUGAGCUUAUUCAAUCUUGUUGUUUGGUAAUUGAGGAUAUGAGCUUAUUCAAUUUUGUUGCUUGGUAAUUGAUUGUGUUGCUUGUUUCUCCAUAAUUGGGCAUGAAUUCUUCUUGGUUGGUAAGAUCUUGGCAGGAGCUUGGGCAUGAAUUCUUCUUGGUUGGUAAGAUCUUGGCAGGAGCUUAUUUCUCCAGAAUUGGGCAUGAAUUUAAUUUUUUGAACUCAUGUCAUCUUGGCAGGAGCUUAUUUCUCCAGAAUUGGGCAUGAAUUUAAUUUUUUGAACUCAUGUUGCUUGUUUCUCUAGAUCCAUUCAACGUUUUAAUUUCAUAAAUUUCGAAUGGUUUUGUUAAUAGGGAAUGAAUUCUUUUUAAAAGCACUUUAUUUGCAAGAUAUAAUAAUGAUAAAUUAUCCCUUAAAACACAAAUCUUUAUACUAAUCUUAUUCUCCUUAAUCUCCGUGCUGAAAAGCUAUGUCCCAUAAAUAAUGGGACGGAGGGAGUAGUAUAUAACAUCAUAUAUAUCUUCCACGCCAGCAAAAUUCAGCAUCACACCAGAUUCAAAUUCGGCAUCACGCCAGAUUCAAUUUUGUCUGAAUUGACAUGUAUGGAAAAUUCCAAAAAUUAUGAAAGUUCCUAUAUUUACAAACAAACUGUUAUUUAUUUUGGAAAAAAACAAAAACUGUGUAAAGUUUAUGUAUUUAAAACAAAUUAACCCAUAUUUUAAUAACAUGUUUUUUCGGUUUCACAAAGACACUUCAAAAAUGUAAUGAAACAAAUUUCAUGUUUCAGUGACAUGAUAUGACAAAACUAGAUGCAAAAUGCUUCACUCGGCCAAAGGAGAAACCACGGUUAAUUCGCUCAUGAUCUACAAAAGGAAUUUUCUAGACUAAAAUCUUAAGAGUUUUGUGAUUUUUCAUUAUGCUAUUUCCUCGUGUGCUAGUUCAACCUUUGUUACAUGUAAGUGAAGGGCUGUGAGAAUUCACAAAAACAAGAUUACAGACAUUUUCAUCAUUGGAGCAAAUCACGACUUAACAAGGUUUACUCUCAUACGCAGCAGCUCAUUUACUAUUGGUUUAGUCCGUCUUCUUAUCGGGUUCAUCGAUAGCAGCUAAUCUUUCGACCAAGGGUGGAUGCGAAUAGUGGUAAGCAGAAUACCAAGGGUCAGUGUUCAUGGAUGAUAGAUUC